rnacentral:rRNA from 1 species
GACGUAGGGCGCGAGCGUUGUCCGGAAUUAUUGGGCGUAAAGAGCUCGUAGGCGGUCUGUCGCGUCUGCUGUGAAAACUCAGGGCUUAACCCUGAGCUUGCAGUGGGUACGGGCAGACUAGAGUGCGGUAGGGGAGACUGGAAUUCCUGGUGUAGCGGUGAAAUGCGCAGAUAUCAGGAGGAACACCGGUGGCGAAGGCGGUGGUCUGGGCCGGCACUGACGCUGGAGGAGCGGAAAGCGUGGGUAGCAAACAGG